AACGUUGGCGGCACGCUUAACACAUGCAAGUCGAACGAGAAACCCGAGCUUGCUCGGGUGGACAGUGGCAGACGGCUUAGUAACGCGUGGGUAUCUACCUAGAGGUUUGGAACAACUAUUGGAAACGAUAGCUAAUACCAAAUAUUCCCUAAGGGGGAAAGAUUUAUCGCCUUUAGAUGAGCCCGCGUCGGAUUAGCUUGUUGGUAGGGUAAAGGCCUACCAAGGCAACGAUCCGUAGCUGGUCUGAGAGGAUGAUCAGCAAGAUUGGGACUGAGACACGGCCCAGACUCCUACGGGAGGCAGCAGUGGGGAAUAUUGCGCAAUGGGGGAAACCCUGACGCAGCGAUGCCGCGUGAGUGAAGAAGGCCUUAGGGUUGUAAAACUCUUUCACCGGUGAAGAUAAUGACGGUAGCCGGAGAAGAAGCCCCGG
rnacentral:rRNA from 1 species